AUUGAACGCUGGCGGAAUGCUUUACACAUGCAAGUCGAACGGCAGCACGGGUGCUUGCACCUGGUGGCGAGUGGCGAACGGGUGAGUAAUACAUCGGAACGUGCCCAAUCGUGGGGGGAUAACGUAGCGAAAGUUACGCUAAUACCGCAUACGAUCUACGGAUGAAAGCGGGGGAUCGCAAGACCUCGCGCGAAUGGAGCGGCCGAUGUCAGAUUAGGUAGUUGGUGGGGUAAAGGCUCACCAAGCCAACGAUCUGUAGCUGGUCUGAGAGGACGACCAGCCACACUGGAACUGAGACACGGUCCAGACUCCUACGGGAGGCAGCAGUGGGGAAUUUUGGACAAUGGGCGCAAGCCUGAUCCAGCCAUUCCGCGUGCAGGAUGAAGGCCUUC
rnacentral:rRNA from 1 species